rnacentral:rRNA from 1 species
AAAUUGAAGAGUUUGAUCAUGGCUCAGAUUGAACGCUGGCGGCAGGCCUAACACAUGCAAGUCGAACGGUAGCACAGAGAGCUUGCUCUCGGGUGACGAGUGGCGGACGGGUGAGUAAUGUCUGGGAAACUGCCUGAUGGAGGGGGAUAACUACUGGAAACGGUGGCUAAUACCGCAUAACGUCGCAAGACCAAAGAGGGGGACCUUCGGGCCUCUUGCCAUCAGAUGUGCCCAGAUGGGAUUAGCUUGUUGGUGAGGUAACGGCUCACCAAGGCGACGAUCCCUAGCUGGUCUGAGAGGAUGACCAGCCACACUGGAACUGAGACACGGUC